GUGACAGCGUACCUGCGCAAAGCCAGAGGCGGACACUUUUUUCUUCUUACUGGCGGUAUAGCCCCCGGCGCUGCUGCCGUUGUGGAAAGGACUGGCCGGCCUCUUCUUGCUGUUCCGGGCUAUCCCCGGAGUGGAAGUGGUGGCCACAAUUGGAAUUUGAGCCGCCAUUCCUACCCCGAGUCUUCCUCCUACCCCCUCCCGACUUGGUCCCAGUGCAGGCCCUGGAACUUCCGGCCCGCCGUUACUUCCGUCUUAAUGCUUUUGAAAACCCGGCCUGGACUCCGAAAGCUUUCGUUGACUUCUCUCGGCCAAAUGUAAAAGGCGGAGCUCGGAGCUGUCUCUUCCUUCCGGGCGGGAGGGUGUCUGGCGGGCGGAGUGCUGCUGUUCACAAGCUCGGGCCCGGGCACGUGCUUGGACGUCCCCAGGGAUUGAGGAUUAGAACAUCCCGUGAUCUUUUUAAAACAACUGGAUUUUUAAAAAGUUAAUCACCACGUUGUGUCUUCUCACGUUAAGUCAGAAGAUUGAUCGCUUUUGAUGUCUCUAAGUGUAAAGUUAAAGCUCCCAGGAUCCACACCUUAGAUCCACGCCACAACUGUCACAUGUUCAGAAGUGAUACAGCUUCUCAAAACCACGCAAGGACAACUUAGCUAUGCACUAACUUGGCCAUCACGUGCUGGAUUCAGCUGAUGGAAUAGCAGGAAGAGGUUACCUUUGGGAAGAGAGAUGCAGCCUCUGGAGAGUAACUGAAAAGCACCACCAGCAGCAGCUCCUAGCCACCCCAUGGGCGGAUCCUGCAGAUGCUCUGCUGCACAGAAGGCACGGGACCCAAGUGCAAUUCCGUUGACACCAAGUUCUA